rfam:Schistosoma haematobium scaffold2585_1, whole genome shotgun sequence.
AUCCAGCUGACGAGCCCCAAAAUGGCGAAACGCGUGUCCUGGAU